UACGGGGGGAGCAAGCGUUGUUCGGAUUUACUGGGCGUAAAGGGCGCGUAGGCGGCGUGACAAGUCACUUGUGAAAUCUCCGGGCUUAACCCGGAGCGGCCAAGUGAUACUGUCGUGCUAGAGUGCGGAAGGGGCUACUGGAACUCUCGGUGUAGCGGUGAAAUGCGUAGAUAUCGAGAGGAACACCUGCGGCGAAGGCGGGUAGCUGGGCCGACACUGACGCUGAGGUGCGAAAGCGUGGGGAGCAAACAGG
rnacentral:rRNA from 1 species